GGAGGAACAUUGUGCGCUCUAUAUAAGCUGCGCAAGCUCAAAUGAUCAUACUUGGUGCUUCAGUGUUGAUUAGUAAGUUCAGGAUGCCUUCUCCGUGUGAUAGCUGCAAAGACACUUGUGGUCAAGGAGGAAAUUGUGGGUCUGAUUGCAAAUGUGGUCCUAAUUGUAAAUGUUCAGCAUCAUCAGGAAAAACUUGUGGAUGUUCAACUGGGGCUGCUAAAUAAAAUAAUCAAAAACAUCAUGGAUUAUAUAAUAACCAUCUUUAUUUAGUUAUUAAAAUCAAUGAAGAUUUAACGAAAAGUAAUAAGUUCCUUUUUAUUUAAAAAUAUAUCAUGUAACGAACACAAUUUAGAGAAAUAAAGCAAAUUUAUGCGUUA